CCUACGGGAGGCAGCAGUAGGGAAUCUUCGGCAAUGGACGAAAGCCUGAACGAGCAACGCCGCGUGAGUGAUGAAGGUUUUCGGGUCGUAAAACUCUGUUGUUAGAGAAGAACAGGGACGUUAGUAACUGAACGUCCCCUGACGGUAUCUAACAAGAAAGCCAAGGCUAACUACGUCCCAGCAGCAGAGGUAAUACGUAGGUGGCUAGCGUUGUCCGGAUUUAUUGGGAGUAAAGCGAGCGCAGGCGGUUUCUUAAGUCUGAUGUGAAAGUCCGCGGCUCAACCGGGGAGGGUCAUUUGAAACUGGGAGGCUUGAGUGCAGAAGAGGAGAGUGGAAUGCCAGGUGUAGCGGUGAAAUGCGUAGAUAUAAGGAGGAACACCAGUGGCGAAGGCAGCUCUCUGGUCUGUAACUGACGCUGAGGCUCGAAAGCGUGGGGAGCAAACAGGAUUAGAUACCCUUGUAGUC
rnacentral:rRNA from 1 species